CUUAUUAACAGAAACAACUUCAUCAACCAUCAUGAAUGAGCCAUUUAUUAAAAAUGGUUACUUUUGCUUAAAAGGGGAGAAGUUUAAAUACCUGGGCUUUUAAUUUUAUAUUUUGCAGCCCUAACUAUGAGUGAACUUUUCUGCAUGAGCAGUGCCAAUAAUAGACAACAAUUCAGAUUUUAUCUGUACAUAUUUGUAUGGAACCAUUUUUGUAUACAGUGCCUUUUUAGCUGCAUGAUGUGUUAUAAAAAGCUGAGUGGAGAAGAUAUUUUUAGCAUUGCAUUAAGAAAAAGAUGUCAAUUUUGUCAUCAGCAAGGGUUUGCAGUGAUUUUUAUGGUGCAUUCCAGACAACUUUAGCGCAGUGCACAUAGGCUGCAUCCUACUAUAUAGCAGGCGAAAAGCAGUAGGCGAGUGAAUAUGUCCGAAACCUCAGUAUUCAUAAAACAGUAGGUGAGAAUUACCUGGGUGACAUACUAAUUCUCGCGAGAUUCGGACGUGCGUCUACUUAAAGUAGGGGAAAAGCAGUAUAGGCGAGCGAAGAAGUAUGUGAAACCUCAGUAUUCAUAAAAGAGUAGGCGAGAAGUUCCCGGAUGUUCUACCCAGAUUCUUGAGUGCUCAUCGAUGGAUACUUUUCAAUCCCAAAAGCCCACGGGAGAUCAAUAUGUCAUUAUCUAACGUGAUGGAGAACAGCGACGAGGAUGUUUACAAAUGGACAGAUGAGACACACGUGUGUUUAUCCGGUGAAGAGUGACUGAUGGAGGAAUGCUGCCAUCAAAAGCUUUGAAUUUGAUGCAGAGCUUUUGUGGUGGAGCAGGUGAUGGCGGCAUUUGUGGAGAAAAAAAAGGAAAACCUGAAACAAAAAUAUAAAGAUCUGAAAUGUCUACAGACUGCUGUGAGCAGUGAGGAUGGAGAAGUCCACAGCAGCAUCCUGGAAAUUAUCCAGUGCCAUGAAUGAGUCACUCCAUCACUGCACCUGACCUUACUGCCUCGUCUGGACUGGAUGCUCCUGUGGUCUCUUCAUCCUCACUGACCACAGAGCCAGCGAGAACAUCUAGAAAAAGACCAAACGAAAUGGAGGAUGUGAUUUUGUUCAAGUUUGUUCUGCUGGUUUCUGUUCAUACAACAUCAGUCAAUGAAACCAGAGUUUCAGAAGCUUCAAAAGCAUCAUCAAA